CUACACUGACUCAAAACAAGUUUUUUCAAGUUCCUCAACUCUUCUAAUGUCUCAGAAUAAAUGACACAAACCAAGUUAUCAUAAUUGUCAAACACAAUCUCAUUCAAUUCAAAGAAAGACUUUCCAUCAGUGGUAAGGGUUUCAUGUGAAUCUCCAGAGCUAGUAUUGAAUUCUUUCAAUAAUGGACAUGUUUCUAUCAUCAAAGAUUUGAGACUUG
rnacentral:lncRNA from 1 species